ACGGUCCUAAGGUAGCGAAAUUCCUUGUCGGGUAAGUUCCGACCUGCACGAAUGGCAUAAUGAUGGCCAGGCUGUCUCCACCCGAGACUCAGUGAAAUUGAAAUCGCCGUGAAGAUGCGGUGUACCCGCGGCUAGACGGAAAGACCCCGUGAACCUUUACUAUAGCUUGACACUGAACAUUGAAUUUUGAUGUGUAGGAUAGGUGGGAGACUUUGAAGUAGUCACGCCAGUGAUUAUGGAGUCGUCCUUGAAAUACCACCCUUUAACGUUUGAUGUUCUAACGAAGAUUACGAAACGUGGUCUCGGACAGUGUCUGGUGGGUAGUUUGACUGGGGCGGUCUCCUCCCAAAGAGUAACGGAGGAGCACGAAGGUUUGCUAAUGACGGUCGGACAUCGUCAGGUUAGUGCAAUGGUAUAAGCAAGCUUAACUGCGAGACAGACAAGUCGAGCAGGUACGAAAGUAGGUCAUAGUGAUCCGGUGGUUCUGAAUGGAAGGGCCAUCGCUCAACGGAUAAAAGGUACUCCGGGGAUAACAGGCUGAUACCGCCCAAGAGUUCAUAUCGACGGCGGUGUUUGGCACCUCGAUGUCGGCUCAUCACAUCCUGGGGCUGAAGUAGGUCCCAAGGGUAUGGCUGUUCGCCAUUUAAAGUGGUACGCGAGCUGGGUUUAGAACGUCGUGAGACAGUUCGGUCCCUAUCUGCCGUGGGCGUUGGAGAAUUGAUUGGGGCUGCUCCUAGUACGAGAGGACCGGAGUGGACGCACCACUGGUGUUCCGGUUGUGUCGCCAGACGCAUUGCCGGGUAGCUAAGUGCGGAAGAGAUAAGUGCUGAAAGCAUCUAAGCACGAAACUUGCCAAGAGAUGAGUUCUCCCUGUCUUUAAGACAGUAAGGGUUGUUUAAGACUAAGACGUAGAUAGGUCUGGUGUGUAAGCGGUGUGAGCCGUUGAGCUAACAGAUACUAAUUGCCCGAGAGGCUUAACUAU
rnacentral:rRNA from 1 species